UGAAGCAGAUGUAAUAGGGUAGGGAGUGAACCAGAUGUAAUGGGAUAGGGGAGGGAGUGAACCAGAUGUAAUAGAAUUGGGGAGGGAGUGAACCAGAUGUAAUAGAAUGAGGGAGGGAGUGAACCAGAUGUAAUGGAAUAGGGUAGGGACUGAAGCAGAUGUAAUAGGGUAGGGAGUGAACCAGAUGUAAUGGGAUAGGGGAGGGAGUGAACCAGAUGUAAUAGAAUUGGGGAGGGAGUGAACCAGAUGUAAUAGAAUGAGGGAGGGAGUGAACCAGAUGUAAUGGAAUGAGGGAGGGAGUGAACCAGAUGUAAUGGAAUAGGGGAGGGAAUGAACCAGAUGUAAUGGAAUUGGGGAGGGAGUGAACCAGAUGUAAUGGAAUAGGGUAGGGACUGAAGCAGAUGUAAUAGGGUAGGGAGUGAACCAGAUGUAAUGGGAUAGGGGAGGGAGUGAACCAGAUGUAAUAGAAUAGGAGAGGGAAUGAACCAGAUGUAAUGGAAUAGGGGAGGGAGUGAACCAGAUGUAAUGGAAUAGGGGAGGGAAUGAACCAGAUGUAAUAGAAUAGGGGAGGGAAUGAACCAGAUGUAAUAGAAUAGGGAGGAAGUGAACCAGAUGUAAUGGAAUGAGGGAGGGAGUGAACCAGAUGUAAUGGAAUAGGGGAGGGAAUGAACCAGAUGUAAUAGAAUAGGGGAGGGAAUGAACCAGAUGUAAUAGAAUAGGGGGGGGAGUGAACCAGAUGUAAUAGAAUAGGGGAUGGAAUGAACCAGAUGUAAUGGAAUAGGGGAAUAUGGGAGGGGGUGAACCAGAUGUAAUGGAAUAGGGGAGGGAGUGAACCAGAUGUAAUAGAAUGGUGGAGGGAGUGAACCAGAUGUAAUAGGGAAUGAUACACACUGGAGUUCACGAACAGAUAUUCUUUACUAAAAUAAUGGUUCCGUGGUCGAAGUAUUGAAACAUUUUUUUUACCCUUCAGGUUUUAUAAUCAAAUUUGAUUGGAUUCGAAAAUAUAAAUUAACAUUCUUUGUUUACGUGGAAUUCCGACCACUACUUACGAUACCUUAUGUACGUGAAGCUUCGAAUAAUGUUCGUCGUGGGUACUGUUUUCAGUGAACCCUAAGACAGUGAGAUGAGUGGAAGAGAGGUGACACAUGAACACUGUCCAUUGUUAACUGGUAUCUCUCCAACGGCCGGGUACCAAUCUGGUACCAACUAAACUGAAAA